rnacentral:rRNA from 1 species
GACGAACCGAGCGAACGUUAUUCGGAAUCACUGGGCUUAAAGGGCGCGUAGGCGGGCCAUCAAGUCAGGGGUGAAAGCCCCCAGCUCAACUGGGAAGUGCCUUUGAUACUGGUGGUCUCGAGGGGGGGAUAGGGGCAUGCGGAACUUCCGGUGGAGCGGUGAAAUGCGUAGAUAUCGGAAGGAACACCGGUGGCGAAAGCGGCGUGCGUGGAUCCCUUCUGACGCUGAGGCGCGAAAGCCAGGGGAGCGAAC